UCAAACUCAAAUUUACAUUAUUAGAUGGUGCUGUAAAAUUAUAAACAAAACUAGAAGGUUAAAUUGUGUUUUCACUUUAUUUCAAUUUUAAUUUCUUAAUUAAUUUGUGUAAUUUAUAAUCACAAUGUGGUGGGCAGUGAAUAUCUUUCUUGCAUCUACACCUUUGAUGUACCACUAUUCUUGGAAAUAUUUAGCGAGUGAGGAAACAAUGCGAUUCCACUUCUACGAAAGGCUUAUGAUGAAUGCUCCAUCUUUUAAAGGUACGAUGUUGGAUCCAAAUAAACCCGCAGAUGAAGACGAGUGGGGUAAUAAGAUCAAAGUUCAACAGUAGGAAUCUGUAUUGGGUACCAGGUUUUCAAUUACCAUCCCCAUAGUGUAAAAUUAAAUUUUCAAGAUGUCUAUAUAAGCUGUUUUGGUUUUUGUUUUCCUUACAUCACCAACCAGGACUGAUUUAAUUAGAUGACAUUUGGAAUUAUUAUUAAAAUGAUUUAAGAAAAUUUAA